AUGAAAGUGAGAAAACCUUCAGUUACUACAUAUUCUUUAAUUAUCAGGCACCUACUCAACCUGGGGAGGAACCCCAUGUAUAAAAUCCAUGUGGAAAAGCAAUCUGAAGCAAUUCUAACCAUUUUAUGCCCCAGAGAAAUUAUACAGGACAGAAAUGCAGUGAAUUUAAAGAAUGGGGCCAAAUGUUUAGUAAUCCUUCAUCCUCUGGAUCCAUGUGCUGAGCCCAUGCUGGUUGGGACUCUUCAGGCUUGCCUUCUGCAAAUAGUUGGGUAGAAAAACCUUAUUGCAGACAUGGAAAAACUGUGCAGAAAACCCUCUGAUUCUGAGAAUCUCCAAUAUGAAGAAAUACUUUUGAAGGUUAGUGUUUGAACACAUUUUAGUCCUUUGCCUAAGUCAGCUAAUGUCUGCCAAGUGCCUGUGCCCUUGGUGCUGCUCUGGACACUGGGAAUACAAAAAUGAGUAAGACGUGGGCAUCAUAAUUGGUUCGUAAAGUCCAGUUUUCUUGCUGUUUCAGUUGUUGGAGGUAAAUUUUGCAUUAGAAAAUUCAUGUGAGAAGUUAAAUGUAA
rnacentral:lncRNA from 1 species